rnacentral:lncRNA from 1 species
UUUUUUUUUUUAAGAUUUUAUUUAUUUAUUUAUUCAUGAGAGGCACACACAGAGAGAGAGAGGCAGAGACACAGCAGAGGGAGAAGCAGGCUCCAUGCAGGGAGCCCGAUGUGGGACUCGAUCCCGGCCUGAGCUGGGUCUUAAACAACGAUUGGGAGUGUAUGUGAUAGAGGCUGAAUGACAAGGUCGGGGUGGGGUGCUCGGGUGGAAGAGCACACGCCAAGUAAAUGAGCAUGAGCAACUGCGUGGAGAGUUGGGGGGCUUGGGGAUUAUCCUGGAGCAGUGAGGAGCCCUUCCCGGGCUUUAGACAGGUAUGAGAAUGGCAUUCUAGCAACAUCGCACUAGCAGCAAGGUGGAGGAUGGCUGGGAGAGAGAAAGACUGGAUGGUGAACACCAGUUGGGAGGAUUUCUAGAUAAUAUAAGUGAGACAUAUGGAGGACCCAUCCUGAGCUAAGUCGGUAGCACGGGCUAGAGAUGAGCAGACAUACGCAAAGGAUGGUAAGGAGUCCGUAGGACUUAGUGACUGAUGGAACAUGAGAGAUGCAAGGCCCAGAGAGAAGAGAGCGAGGAUGCCUCGGUUUCUGGAUUACGUGCCUGAGAAAGUGUGGUGCUGUUCAUGCUGAGAGAGAAAUAAAGGAAAGAGGACAAGUCGUGUGUGUACGUGCGUGCGUGUCGAGGCGUCAUAAUGCUGUGCGGAGACAGCCCUGGCCCAGCUGGGGAUAUUCAGUAUGCAGUGGGUUUACGGGUCUAGAGCCUCUAUACCAAAGAUCACUCCAGGAUUUCAUGACUGGGUAAUUGAAAGGAUGAUAAUGUCAUCAACAGAAAUAAGGACCACUGAAGGUGAAUUAUGAUGGGGUGGGGGCGAGAUGAUGGAUUGAAUUUUGUGAUGUCUACGGGACGUAGCACCGAAGGUAUUCACCAGGCAGUUGGAAAAAUGGGAUCAGAGCAGCCCGAGGUCAGAUUUGGAGCUUUAUAUUCAGGAGUCCUCGGAGUCAAGAUGAUAGUUGCAGCUGCAGAACGGAUGAGAUCAUCAGAUGCAAGUGUGUACGGUGAGCAGAGGGUCAAAGAGAGAAUGCUGGAAGACACCUACUUCUUUUUAGGGUGGGAGGGGGCCACAGAGCCGGAGGAGGAGCUGUCUGCAAGAGCCAGGAGCGGGCCACCAGGGUGGCCAGCAGGUUAGCUAGGAGGUGCUGAGAAGUAGAGGCGGUUAAGUGUAAACAACCCUUGGAGCUGCCACGUGGCAGUGAAGGGUACAGAUUUUUAAAAUGAGUUAAGACUUGGCCCAGUUGCAUUUCUGUGAUGCACGCCAGGUCACGUGCACUUCAGUCCUCUCAUGGGGCUGUUGGCGGUGCCCUUCCCUUGUCCUGGGGCCUCUUGUGGUCAUAGAUCCCUGGGGCCAGUGUGCUAGCAAUGCUGGGGGAGGGGGCCCCUUCCACCUGCGACUCAUGAACCCCUCGAGGCACUCCCCCCUUCUUUCUGCCCUGACUCCUCCUAUUCCUUUGCAAAACAAACAUUUACUGAACCCCUAUUCUGUGUCACCUGCCUUAGGUGGCCCUGUACAGCCGGCAAGGCCUGCAGAGAGGGGAGGCAGGGCAGGGGGUCUGGCCGGGCUGCGGCAGUGAGCGGUGUGAGGUGGACAGCAGCAGGUGUGGGGAGAGGAGCGUAGCUCUGAGGGCUGUGUUUGAGAGAGACUCAGGCCUUUGAGACUAAUUGGAAGAGGGCUGAGGGGAAAGAGAGGGGCAGAUGUCACCUUAGAAGUUGCAGCUUCGGGGUGCUGGGGCGGCGGGGUCAGGAUCGAGGCCCAAGGCCCUUCUGGCCUGCUCACAGCCAGAGCUGGGGGGCGUCAAUGGUUCUGAAGCAGGCACUCCAUCUCGGGGUAACAUGAUCCUGUAACGCAGGGCUCCUCUGAUGUGGGCUGCUUGCCUUUUACAGCAUUAGGGGAGCAACAUUUCAUGGAAAAUUCAAUAAAUCCCCCUGUACAGCCAGACGUCUGUAAACAAUGGCUUCCAAAUUCAAUCAGGCUGGGGACCCGCAGCAGCAUUUAUGAGCUCUAACGUGGAAUAUUAUAUAGGGGAGUGAGUAGCGGGGGCUGGGGGAAGGGCUUCCUGGAAGAUGAGCACUCCUGGGCGGCUCCUGCUCUCCGAUCCUG